GUCCUGGAUUUUAAUAGAAGUCCCUGGGCUGAGGUGUUAACAGUCUUCAUUUAAUGAAUUUCCAUGAACAUCUUUUUUUUGAUGAUCGUUGUGUGGAGAUAUCAUCUUAAUUGAAACUGUGAGAAGGCUGUACCUGUGACAAAGGACACAAAAGAACCUGCUUAUGUGAACACAAAUGAAGGACACAGUGGGGACUUGCCAUAUACGUAAUUUUGGAUUUUUUCUCUUCACAAGUUUCAGUGCAUGUUUUCUACAACAAAUAUGUCACCUCCUAUAUAGGUCAGAGUAUUUAUACCCAGGACACACCUGAAGGGAUUCUGGACAGCAUGUUUACCAAAAAACUAUUGAAUAUUGAUUGGUAUGAAAUUUAAUUUAAGACCACUCUAAAUGACACAUACAAAAAUGUAAGUUGGAGUGAAGGCAGUUUGCCAUUUCAGAUUGUAGAUAUCCACAGACUUUUCUGAAUACAUUAAAACCCUUGAUAGAAACAGGAAAGGAAGAACAAGCAAGAGCAAUGAUUCCACACUGAGGAGGUCCAGAAAAAACGAUACAAGCUAGAAGACUUCCAAGUGGAGUGUGGUAUCAUCCUCCUUGAUUUAUUCCAGGAACACAUUGGAAAAGCCCUAAGGUCCUCACCCCUAAGCACGGUUAGCUUCUAAAGUUACCACAAAGCAAUUCCAGGUGGAAAACAGGGAAGCCUGCAGACUUCUGGGUAAAGGCUGUGCAUUUGGAAAAUUAAAAAAAAAAACAAGCAGACAUAUCAUACGACACACAAACUAGAGACAAUGGCAGGAGAGCAUGCUCUACAAAAAGAUGUGGGUGUCCCAAAAGACUGAAAAUGGCCAUAGCAUUUACCUUGUGCGUCUUGGCAGUUUUGGUAGAGUCAGUGUUGUUGUCACUCUCGGGAGUGACACCCUGCUUCUGGAUCUGCUAAAGGCCCUAGAAGGGACGGAGGUUUAUUCUGAUUUGAGUAGACUGGAGGUUUAAAAACAAACAAAAAAAAUCCCCUCAUUCCUUAGACAAACUCUUUGGCCCAGUCAGAUUGCAAAUCACAUGCAGAGAGUAUCCUGCAUGCCUCAGGUGAUCCCCAAGAAGAACUUAUCCCUUAUAACUUAAUGAAGACUCCUAAAAGCCCUGAUUCAGAUGUAUUCAUCACUCAUCAAACAACUAUGGAUGUCUGGGGAGCGCGACUAGAUGGAUACGUUUGGCUGAGCCUCAUGCCUCACAGAUCCCAGCACGUGAACUGUGUGCAGAGCAUUUCUGCUGAACUGCUAUGUCUGCUUUUCUGCAUACAGCCCCAUUCCUUCUCCACAAGAGACACCUGUACCAAUACAUGGUGGGGGAAAUGACAAAGAUCUGUCAAUCAUGAGACACUUGAGGAAUGUGGUAAUGGCAGCAGACACAUUUCCCUUGCAUUGCAAUGAUCUGUGGUACCAACUCUGCACCUUGACCAAAGACCCAACAAAAAUAAGAUGAGUGUACUUCACAAGUCAACUCAUACUGUUCCAAUCAUCUUACCAAGUGUUGCAGAUGGAGGGGUUCAGGGGAUCGACAGGGCCACUAA